rnacentral:rRNA from 1 species
AUGGAGCUCGCGUCCACGGCCCCGUGGUGGCUCACCACGAGGACAUGCGACCUCCCCUCCAAGGGCGUCCUCGAAUGGGCCGCUUUCCUCUUGGUCUCCACCUGCUCGCAGCGGCUCAUGCUGUCCGCGGCCGCCGCGGCGUUCCUGGUGGCCGUGCUCUGCCUCGCGGUUGGUAAGGUCCUGUCCCGCCGGCGGGACGGCGCCGUUAACGGCAACGGCGCCGACAAGCCGCUGCUCGACCGGGGGCGGCCCCGGGCGGUGCGGGUCGGCGCGGGGUUCGUCCUGGCGCUGGCCGCCUCCGCGGUCCUCGCGGGGUUCUACGCCGUGCUCUUCGUUCUCUCGGUCGUGAUGCGGGGCGGCGCGGGCGAGGCCCAGGAGGCGGUGUUCCUGGCGCUGCAGUGCGCGGCGCACCUCGCCGCCGCCGCCCUGGUGGGUCACGAGAAGCGGUUCCGCGCGGCGGCGCACCCGCUCACGCUCCGCCUCUUCUGGCUCGCCGCGUCCGCGCUCACCGCGCUCCUCGCCGGCGCGGCCGUCGCGCGCCUCGCGUCCGGCGCCGGCGCUCUCCCGGACGAUGCGCUCGCGAUCGCGGCGCUCGUCUUGUCCCUCCCGCUCCCCGUCGUCGCCGUCCUGGGCGCCACGGGAAUCUCCGUAAAAGAACAAGCCGAUGACAACGAUCGGUCCGAAGAAGAAGAAGAAGAAGCCAGCAAGGAGAAGAACACGACGCCGUACGCGAGCGCGUCAUGGCCGUCGCGCAUGUCGUGGGCGUGGAUGAACCCGCUGAUCCAGCGGGGCUACCGCUCGCCACUAGACCUGUCAGACGUACCCACCCUCGCCCCAGCGCACCGGCCGGAGCGCAUGCACGCGCUGUUCCUCUCGCACUGGCCGUCCUCGUGGGCGCGCAAGGACAACAACCCGGUGCGGCACGCGCUGCUCCGGUGCUUCUGGCCGCUGUUCCUGCUGAACGCGGGGCUGGCGCUGCUGCGGCUGACGGUGAUGUACGUGGGGCCGACGCUGAUCCAGAGCUUCGUGAGCUUCACGUCGGCGGCGGAGCGGCGGCCGCUGUGGGAGGGGGCGCGGCUGGUGGUGGCGCUGCUGGGGGCCAAGGCGAUGGAGGCGCUGUGCAGCCACCAGUACAACUUCCACUGCCAGAAGCUGGGGAUGCAGAUCCGGGGCGCGCUCAUCACGGCGCUCUACCGCAAGGGCCUCCGGCUGUCGUGCUCGGCGCGGCAGAAGCACGGGCUGGGCAUGAUCGUCAACUACAUGGCCGUCGACGCGCAGCAGCUCUCCGACAUGAUGCUCCAGAUCCACUACCUCUGGCUCAUGCCGCUCCAGGUGGGCGUGGCGCUUGGCCUGCUGUACAUCUACCUGGGCCCGCCGGUGACGUCGGCGCUGGUGGGCGUGUUCGGCGUGAUGGCGUUCGUGCUGCUGGGCACCCGCCGGAACAACCGGUACCAGUUCUCCCUCUCCGGCGAGCGGGACAAGCGGAUGAAGGCGACCAACGAGAUGCUGAGCUACAUGCGCGUGAUCAAGUUCCAGGCGUGGGAGGAGCACUUCAACGCCCGCAUCGGCCGCUUCCGGCGCCUCGAGUUCGGGUGGCUCACCCGCUUCAUGUACUCCAUCUCCGGCAACAUCGUGGUGCUCUGGAGCGCGCCCACCGUGGUGUCGGCGCUCGUCUUCGGCACCUGCGUCGCCGUCGGCGUGCCCCUCGACGCCGGCCUCGUCUUCACCGCCACCUCCCUCUUCAAGAUCCUCCAGGAGCCCAUGCGCAACUUCCCCCAGGCCAUGAUCCAGGCCUCGCAGGCCAUGAUCUCGCUCCAGCGCCUCGACUCGUACAUGACGAGCCCGGAGCUGGACGAGGGCGCGGUGGAGAGGGAGCCGGCGGCGGCGUCGCGGGACGGCGGGGUGGCCGUGCAGGCUAGGGACGGGGUGUUCACGUGGGACGACGAGGAGACGGAGGCCGGGAAGGAGGUGCUGCGCGGGAUCGACCUGGAGAUCCGCAGCGGCAAGCUGGCCGCCGUGGUCGGCAUGGUCGGGUCCGGCAAGUCGUCGCUGCUGGGCUGCAUCCUCGGCGAGAUGCGCAAGGUCUCCGGCAAGGUCAAGGUGUGCGGCACGACGGCGUACGUGGCGCAGACGGCUUGGAUCCAGAACGGCACCAUCGAGGAGAACAUCCUGUUCGGGCAGCCGAUGCACGCGGAGCGGUACAAGGAGGUGAUCAGGGUGUGCUGCCUGGAGAAGGACAUGGAGAUGAUGGAGUUCGGCGAUCAGACGGAGAUCGGAGAGCGCGGGAUCAACCUCAGCGGCGGCCAGAAGCAGCGCAUCCAGCUCGCCCGCGCCGUCUACCAGGACUGCGACAUCUACCUCCUCGACGACGUCUUCAGCGCCGUCGACGCACACACCGGCAGCGAGAUCUUCAAGGAAUGUGUUAGAGGUGCUCUGAAGAACAAGACUGUUGUACUUGUGACUCACCAAGUCGAUUUCUUGCACAACGCUGAUAUCAUAUAUGUGAUGAAGGAGGGCACGAUAGUGCAAUCCGGCAAGUACGACGAGCUCAUCCAGCGCGGCUCUGACUUCGCGGCGCUCGUUGCGGCGCACGACAGCUCCAUGGAGCUCGUGGAGGGCGCGGCGCCAGUGUCUGACGAGAAGGGGGAGACGAUGGCCGUCUCCCGGCAGCCGUCCAGAAGCGGCAAUGGCAGAAGGUCGUCGAGCGGGGAGGCGCACGGGGUGGUGGCGGAGAAGGCGUCGGCGCGGCUGAUCAAGGAGGAGGAGCGCGCGAGCGGGCACGUGAGCCUGGCCGUGUACAAGCAGUACAUGACGGAGGCGUGGGGGUGGUGGGGCGUGGCGCUGGUGGUGGCCGUGUCCGUGGCGUGGCAGGGGUCCGUGCUGGCCAGCGACUACUGGCUCGCCUACGAGACCGACGCCGAGAACGCCGCGUCGUUCCGGCCGGCGCUGUUCAUCGAGGUGUACGCCAUCAUCGCCGUCGCGUCGGUGGUGCUCGUGUCGGGGCGGUCCUUCCUGGUGGCAUUCAUCGGCCUCCAGACCGCCAACUCCUUCUUCAAGCAGAUCCUCAACAGCAUCCUCCACGCGCCCAUGUCCUUCUUCGACACCACCCCGUCCGGAAGGAUACUGAGCAGGGCGUCGUCCGACCAGACCAACGUCGACCUCUUCCUGCCAUUCUUCGUGUGGCUCAGCAUCUCCAUGUACAUCACCGUCAUCAGCGUGUUGAUCGUCACAUGCCAGGUCGCGUGGCCGUCUGUCAUCGCCAUCAUCCCUCUGCUCAUACUCAACCUGUGGUACCGGGGUUACUACCUUGCGACGUCGAGGGAGCUGACGCGGCUCGAGUCCAUCACCAAGGCUCCGGUGAUCCACCACUUCUCGGAAACGGUGCAGGGUGUCAUGACCAUCAGGUGCUUCAGGAAGGGCGACAGCUUCUUCCAGGAGAACCUCAACCGGGUCAAUUCUAGCCUGAGGAUGGACUUCCACAACAAUGGCGCCAAUGAGUGGCUCGGUUUCCGGCUAGAGCUGGCUGGGAGCUUUGUUCUUUGCUUCACUGCCUUGCUCAUGGUCACUCUACCCAAAAGCUUCAUCCAGCCAGAAUUUGUUGGUCUAUCGCUCUCGUAUGGUCUAUCCCUGAACUCAGUCUUGUUCUGGGCCGUAUGGAUGAGUUGCUUCAUUGAGAACAAAAUGGUGUCAGUCGAGAGGAUAAAGCAAUUCUUAAACAUCCCGUGUGAGGCAGAAUGGAGGAUCAAGGACUGUCUACCUAUUUCAAACUGGCCAACAAGAGGCGAUAUCGAAGUCAUUGAUCUCAAGGUUAGGUACCGGCAUAACACUCCACUAGUGUUGAAGGGCAUCACACUAAGCAUACACGGAGGAGAGAAGAUCGGAGUUGUUGGUAGGACUGGCAGUGGGAAAUCAACACUAAUCCAGGCCUUGUUCAGAAUAGUGGAGCCUUCCGAGGGGAAGAUCAUCAUCGACGGUGUCGACAUCUGCACCUUAGGACUCCAUGAUCUGAGGUCUCGGUUCGGCAUCAUCCCUCAAGAGCCCGUGCUCUUUGAAGGUACGAUCCGAAGCAACAUCGACCCGCUCGAGGAGUACUCUGAUGUUGAAAUUUGGCAGGCCUUGGACCGUUGUCAGCUGAAGGAAGCCGUGACAUCAAAACCUGAAAAGCUUGACGCAUCAGUUGUUGACAACGGCGAGAACUGGAGCGUGGGACAGCGGCAACUGCUCUGCCUAGGCCGGGUGAUGCUGAAACACAGUAAAAUACUGUUCAUGGAUGAGGCCACUGCGUCGGUGGAUUCCCAAACCGAUGCUGUGAUUCAGAGGAUUAUCCGGGAAGACUUUGCCGAGUGUACCAUCAUCAGCAUUGCGCACAGGAUACCGACGGUCAUGGACUGCGACAGAGUCCUGGUAGUUGAUGCAGGACUAGCAAAGGAGUUUGACCGGCCUGCCGCCCUGAUCGAAAGACCGUCGCUCUUUGGAGCAUUGGUUCAAGAGUACGCGAACCGGUCGUCUGACAUGUAG